rnacentral:misc_RNA from 1 species
AAGUCGUAACAAGGUUUCCGUAGGUGAACCUGCGGAAGGAUCAUUAACACGUAUCCAACGUUAAACCCCCCUGUGCACCUUUAGAGAGCUCUUGCAAGCCCAUGAUGACAGCAAUCCUGGUAAAUCAGUGGCGAAAGUAGUCUUUGAUUCAGGACCUCUGUCUAGUGAGAAGUUAUAGCGGGCAAUUGAGCCUUUUAUCGUCAGUCUGGAGUCCUGUAAGGCUUCGCCAUCGCUGGAGGCUCAUCACGGGCCGGCGGACAGACUGCAGGGUCACCAUGCCCCUUUAUGACGACCAAGUUAAAUUAGGCCUCUACCACAUAGCAAGUGCGCCGUGGUAGAGGAAAACGUACAACUGUUAACAAUGGAUAUCUUGGUUCUC